CCCUUAGAUGUCCGGGGCCGCACGCGCACUACACUGAAGGAAUCAGCGUGGCUUUCUCCCUGACCCGAAAGGGUUGGGAAACCCGUUGAAUCUCCUUCGUGAUAGGGAUUGGGGCUUGAAAUUGUUCCCCAUGAACGAGGAAUUCCCAGUAAGCGCGAGUCAUAAGCUCGCGUUGAUUACGUCCCUGCCCUUUGUACACACCGCCCGUCGCUCCUACCGAUUGAAUGCUCAGGUGAGCCAUUCGGACUUUCAUCAUGCUGGUUUCCAGUUUUGAUGAAGGAAAGUCUUGCGAACCUUAUCAUUUAGAGGAAGGAGAAGUCGUAACA
rnacentral:rRNA from 1 species